CCUACGGGUGGCUGCAGUGGGGAAUAUUGCGCAAUGGGCGAAAGCCUGACGCAGCGACGCCGCGUGUGGGAUGAAGGCCUUCGGGUCGUAAACCACUGUCGCGAGGGACGAACACAAUGACGGUACCUCGAAAGGAAGCACCGGCUAACUCUGUGCCAGCAGCCGCGGUAAUACAGAGGGUGCGAGCGUUGUCCGGAAUCACUGGGCGUAAAGGGCGCGUAGGUGGCCUGAUAAGUAGGGGGUGAAAUCUCACGGCUCAACCGGGAGGCUGCCUU
rnacentral:rRNA from 1 species